ACAGUUCUGAUGAUUGAUUGAAGCAAUUAAAGUAUAUUCGCGUGUUUCACUUCCGAAUGUUCACUUAUUGUUAAAGUCUGGAGUCUUUUUUUACACCAUUCUAAAUCAGAUAAUAAGUCGGCAAGGCGGCAGAAAAUCUAAUAGAGCUUCAUGUCUAUGAUUAGGUAUAAUUUCUUUUUUUCCCUCUUUUUUAUCCGAAAUUUAGGAAAUGUAAUAAAUCCUAAUGCACGUAACACUCCUGAGCAGAAAAAAAAAUAAUGUAAAGGUUUCGCAACAGAAUCUAGGACUAUCGCUUUGAGAAACAAAACGCCUUGACUGCCGCGCAAAAACACACUGAUGGCAGCAGCAAGUAAAAAGGUUGAGUGAGGGCAGUAAACUUCCUCUAUAGUUUUUGCUCCUUGUGCCAAAACUAUAGAGGAAGAGAAACGCUGUAAGAAUACCUAAAAAAGACGUUCUCGUGCACAGUCUAGUUACCAUUAGAAUUCUGUCACAAAAAACAAUAUAAUGGGAGCAUACAAUGCGUACUUGAACCAGCUCUCCUGAAAAAUCCACCAGCAAACGUAAGGCCAGCCAAUAAUUUCAGCAAACAAACGGUAGCCUUCCAAAUAAAAAUUGUCCAGAGGCUUUUAGAAUGCUCAGGAUUAUAAAUCCAGAAAAAUCUACAAAACAGUAGUUCGUCAUCAAUCAACGGAUAGCAAGCUCCGAAGGAUGUUCCCAUCCAAAAGGGAAUUACAUACAAACGAUGUGGAACAAUCCUUUAAAGGAUUGCAAAAAAUGAAAAAUUGUCCCCAGGCUAGGCACUUGGUGGGUAGAAGCAAUCGAUCACAAUUCUGGAAACAACUGGCCAAGAUGGCUGCGAUAUUGCCCCCUUUUCUACUAUCGGCCAAAAACCUAUAGACCAAGAACAUAUAAAAGUAGUUAACAGUGGCUCAGAUUGGGCAGGUCAUAAGCAUCAGUUCAUAGCAUCUUAACAUGGGCUCAUUAAUAGCAGAACCAAAUAGAGGAACAUCAAGAUAGCAACAGUUGCAGCGGUAGAACAAAGAAGAUAUUUAUGUUAUGAAAGCAAAGAUGUUCAACCGAAAAAAUCUUGGAGGCAGCUAAAAGAAAUAUUGGAACUGUAUCUACAUGGUUUAUUUGACAGUGAUAUAAAGGAAAUCUCUCAAAUAAACCUACUUUAAAGCUGCAAUAAGUUUUGUGAAUUUAGAUGUAAGAACAGACGCCUCAGUCUUUGUGUCCGUCAUGACAAGUCACUGGAGCUCGUGUCGAAAGAGAAACAAACAAAAAUAACAUAGUUCUUUUAUGAAAAAUGUUUCAUAAGUAAAAGCUGGUACUACAUUUGCUUUUCGUUCUGUUUUUCGCCGAUUACUUUCUGUUGAUAAUAGAUUUUAAGGCAAAGAAAAGCUUGCUGCUUUCAUUCUGUAGGACAUUCUCUCAUUACAUAUGUUAAAAUUUUAAUAAAUUGUUAUUUUAUCACUGUUAUUUGUGAAGGGGUUCAAAAAAGUAAUCACGCAAAUUUGCACAAAUUGUUCUGUUAUUACUUCCAAUAACUGUGCCAAGUACGGUUCAAAUUGAUCUAUAACCUGAUAUAGCUCCCAUAUAAACCGAUCUCUUGAUCAUCGUUGUUCGGUUCCUAGAAGCUUUAAUUUUUGCUGGUUUGACAGAAGUUUGCAGAAUUCAUGGUUAUGGGUUUCCAAGAUUCGGCCCGGCCGAACUUAUCACGCUUUUUAUUGCUAUUUGUUCUUUCAUUCGUUGCAAUACAAAGCCGAUUAGGCCAAAUACUCGUAAAGCGAACGGACUGCUUCAAUGGUAGGUGGUGCUUGUAGGCAUCAUCCCAAUCCUGUCCCUGUGAUAUCACACUAGAAUAAAAUUGCUGAGUCUAAUUGCCGAACCCAACCCCUUACAUAUUGAACGAAUAAAUAAGUAGACUUUAGUUUCUAAUUAAGAUAAUUAUGUGUAUAUUUUUGUUAUAUUAUAGUUUUUUGAUAUAAAGCAAAUUUAUAACGUU